AGAGUUUGAUCCUGGCUCAGGACGAACGCUGGCGGCGUGCUUAACACAUGCAAGUCGAGCGAGGCCCUCCUUCGGGGGGUGCCCUAGCGGCGAACGGGUGAGUAACACGUGGGCAACCUGCCCUCAGCUCUGGGAUAACUCCAAGAAAUUGGUGCUAAUACCGGAUGUGACCGCUGACCGCAUGGUCUGGUGGUGGAAAGAUUCAUCGGCUGAGGAUGGGCCCGCGGCCUAUCAGCUUGUUGGUGGGGUAAUGGCCCACCAAGGCGACGACGGGUAGCCGGCCUGAGAGGGUGACCGGCCACACUGGGACUGAGACACGGCCCAGACUCCUACGGGAGGCAGCAGUGGGGAAUAUUGCGCGAUGGGCGAAAGCCUGACGCAGCGACGCCGCGUGAGGGAUGACGGCCUUCGGGUUGUAAACCUCUUUCAGUAGGGACGAAGCGCAAGUGACGGUACCUACAGAAGAAGCACCGGCCAACUACGUGCCAGCAGCCGCGGUAAUACGUAGGGUGCAAGCGUUGUCCGGAAUUAUUGGGCGUAAAGAGCUCGUAGGCGGUCUGUCACGUCGGCUGUGAAAACCCGAGGCUCAACCUCGGGCCUGCAGUCGAUACGGGCAAACUAGAGUACUGCAGGGGAGACUGAAAUUCCUGGUGUAGCGGUGAAAUGCGCAAAUAUCAGGAGGAACACCGGUGGCGAAGGCGGGUCUCUGGGCAGUAACUGACGCUGAGGAGCGAAAGCGUGGGGAGCGAACAGGAUUAGAUACCCUAGUAGUCC
rnacentral:rRNA from 1 species